GAUGAAGAACGCAGCGAAAUGCGAUAUGUAAUGUGAAUUGCAGAAUUCAGUGAAUCAUCGAAUCUUUGAACGCACAUUGCGCCCGUCAGUAUUCUGGCGGGCAUGCCUGUUCGAGCGUCAUUACGCCCCUCAAGUCCCCUGUGGACUUGGUGUUGGGGAUCGGCGAGGCUGGUUUUCCAGCACAGCCGUCCCUUAAAUUAAUUGGCGGUCUCGCCGUGGCCCUCCUCUGCGCAGUAGUAAAACACUCGCAACAGGAGCCCGGCGCGGUCCACUGCCGUAAAACCCCCCAACUUUUUAUAGUUGACCUCGAAUCAGGUAGGACUACCCGCUGAACUUAAGCAUAUCAAUAAGCGGAGGA
rnacentral:misc_RNA from 1 species